CGGGUGCCCCGCGGGGCGCGGAGCCGGGCGCGGCCGGCGGCAGCGGGAGCGCGGCGGCGGCGGCGGCGGCGGCGGACGGGGCUGGGCAGAGGCUGCCCUCUCGGCCGGGGAAAUCCUUUCCGGAUCCUUCACGAUUUCCCGGGAUAAAUGAAUGCGCAUUUGAUGGGUGUGUAAGAUGUGGCCCAUCCGGCUGCCGUAACAGAGCUCUGUGGAUGCGGUGUGUGCUGUACCGGCCGUGAUAACAAACAAGUGGUGCACUUAGACGGCGGCAAGAGAGCCUGCACACCCCCCGGGGACAGAGUUUGCCUCCUGAACUACACUUCUCUCACUGAAGAACAGUAGCUCCGACCUCCAAACCAACUGGGACUGGCGCUUUGAAGUAGCUGCGAACAGUGCUCCCGUGUCUCAACAUGGUCACGUAGGAGAUUUGAGCCUUUUAAUUUCCAGACACAAGGAAUAACUCCCUCGGAGCACCGGCUUGGUUUAGGUGGUCGAUUGUUGGGUGUUUCGGUCAGAGUUUUUGAUUUUUUAAAAUUUUCUAAUAAGAUAGCGAGGGAAGAUGGGUACGGUUCCCUGGUAGACACAGAAACAUAGAGGGGAAGAAAAAGCCCAGCCGGGGCACAUUUGGCUGCAGGGAAGCUGCCCGAGCCGCUCUGUUGUCCCGGCGGGAUGGCGGCCGGGGGCUGCGGGCGCUGCCCGGCCCGGCCCUGCGCGGCAGCCAACGGGCGCGUCGCCUGGUGUGACCUUCAGGAGCACAUUUCAACUGCUAAACACCGAGAAAAGUGCUCCUCUCUCUCGCAGGCGCCAUAUUACCGCCGGGAGCCGGGGCUGGGGCGGGGGGAGGGCGGGUGCGCAGUUAGUCUAGUUUUACGCAGUUGUUAAUUCAGACUGGACGAGCACUCGAUGGCUCCAUAAAAAGACAAAAAAAAAAAAAAAAAAAAGAGAGUAGUUUGGGAUUAUUCUUUUCUUCUUAGCCCCCCCUGCUAUCCUCCCUUUUCCAACUACCCUCGAGGGGAUACGCUUUGUAACACUGAUGCCUGCCCUGGGACCCCACGGAGCAUUCUCCCCCUCCGCGCCCGCUGGGAAAGGGGGUGCGCGGGGCGAUCCCGAGAGCACGGGGUGUGGCGGGGGCCCUGCCCAAGGCCCCGACACCCUCCUUGCCGGGGGCCCCCGGCACCCCCAGGCAGCGCCCGAGAGCGCCCAGCUUCCCCCAUCCUGCUGCUUGCCGGGGGGGACUGGGAAUACUCCCUAAGCCCUCUCCCUCCGCUCACACCCUGUUUGUGCUGGGAAGGUUAUGAGGCUCAAAAUCAGAAAAUACCCCCAACACCUCUUUCCCCCGGCGCAAAAUGAUUCCCUAAGCUGUGGGUCUACACUUUGCUGAGCUCUCUGCCCCCUCACUUCUCACAGAGACCUGCUCCUCAGUCAACGGCGCUCUUUUGUCUUUUCCCCUGCCUUUUUUUUUUCCUUUUUUGUGAAAAAAAAAAAAAAAAAAAGAAACUACUAACCAACCCCACCCAAAACCCGACAACAACAACUUCUGUAGCUCUGCAGAAGUGGAGGAAACAACCCCGCGAUCGCGGCAGGGACACAGAGAAGCCGGACAGAGCCGCUCCUCCCCUGGGCCGCGGGGCCGGUGCCGUCCUAAAGAUUCAAGUCCUCUCAGGAUUUCGGAACAAAGGCAGCCCAGCCCAGCUCCGCCACGCACGAAUCUCCAUUGUAAUCCUGGGCUUAUCCUUUCCCCCCCUCCCUUUCUUAAUUUGCCCUGUUUUCCAGCCUGCGGUUCCUGAAGGUCAGAUGGAGAGGUCAUAGCUCGGCAUCCCCUAUAAAUAGAUUUUGAUAUUUAGACAGCUAUUGCUACUCGAUAUUAACUUACAGGAUAAUGGCGAGAGAUACCGUAUGCGCUGAACCUGUUAUUCACGAGUGAGCAGCAUCUGUCGAAUACAAUUCUCGUCUUUUUGCCCUGUUUGGCUGUAGCACACAUCAAUAGGGCGAAGGACAUCUUGAGGCUGGGGUAGGGACAGGGAGCAGGACGGCUCUGCGGGGGCAAAGUUGCAAGUACAGUGUUGAAACUAUACGAGGACUUAGAGAGCUGAAGUCAAGAGCCAGGUCGGCGCAGACCGGCUCUGAGCGAGUGCAGGACCAAUUCAAGAGCGGCUGGCGCAAAGAUUCCAGCGGGCUUUUGGCACUUCACAUUAAAAUAUAAUGAAUACUGCUGAGGUGGAAGGGUCUUCCCUCCGCACAUUCACAGCCCCAUUUCCCCCAUUUCUGAUUUUUAAAAUCAUAGGUUCCAGGUGGAUCUGAACCAGAGGCUCAGAGCUCACCACUAACCCUUUCGCUGUUUACAGAGCAUUCAGGAGAAGGCAAGGUCUUCAAGUGUGGGCAACACUUUGAAGGGAGCACUAACAGUUCUCGUUUCCUUUUCACAGAGCAUCCCCUCUUCUGGCUGUUCCCAAAUCCUUCUCUGCCUUUCACCACCUGAGAGGCAGAAAGGCCUUUACGCUUCCAGGUCCUGCGUCCUGGCACUUCACUUUGCAGUGCGAUUAAAAUGAAAUUCACGGCCGGGACUCUGGCUGAGGCUUUAGAGCAAACCCACCCGCAGCCGGGUGCCCACCGGGAUGCACCGAUCGGGGACGGCCAGCACUUUGGGAACUUUGGGAACUGGAGGGCAGCGGCGGUGGCCAUGCCCCCGCGGACGGGGAGAGGAGUCUGGCCAGGCUAAAAACACCAUUUCUCCCUCGUUGUGCUGGCUCACGGUCCUGCUCCUUCUGCAAAAACGAUUCCCCUUAUCGCUGUCGAGACUGCAGCUCUAGAAACUAGUUGUGAUCAAGAUCUUGUGCAGCAGGACGGGAAGUACGCAAGCGUUUCCAUCUACUUACCUGGGCA